AACGAACGCUGGCGGCAUGCCUAACACAUGCAAGUCGAACGAGACCUUCGGGUCUAGUGGCGCACGGGUGCGUAACGCGUGGGAACCUGCCCUUAGGUUCGGAAUAACUCCCCGAAAGGGGUGCUAAUACCGGAUAAUGUCUUCGGACCAAAGAUUUAUCGCCUUUGGAUGGGCCCGCGUUGGAUUAGCUAGUUGGUAGGGUAAAAGCCUACCAAGGGGACGAUCCAUAGCUGGUCUGAGAGGAUGAUCAGCCACACUGGGACUGAGACACGGCCCAGACUACUACGGGAGGCAGCAGUGGGGAAUAUUGGAAAAUGGGCGAAAGCCUGAACCAGCAAUGCCGCGUGAGUGAUGAAGGCCUUAGGGUUGUAAAGCUCUUUUACCCGGGAUGAUAAUGACAGUACCGGGAGAAUAAGCUCCGGCUAACUCCGUG
rnacentral:rRNA from 1 species